AAAAAAAAUCAAAAUGCCAGUAUAUAUUAUGGUGAUAAUUAUUCGCAGAAUCCCUUCUUAUUCUUCUCUUGCCUCGCCACCAUCACCGGCUUCCUCCUCCUCCCUAGGCGAGAUCUUCUCCUUCCCUCUCCCUGAGCGCCGCAAUCGUGCCCCUCUGCCGUGACCGACGUCUUUAUGGGAGGUGAUGAAUUGCAACAAAUUUGCUAAGCCAUGCAAUCGCCAACUGGUAUCAUUCGGAUCCAAUGCCUAGAACGAGUGUGAGCAAUUCUGUGCCGGGAUGGACAGCAUGACACCAAGCAAUCUUCUUGCUCAUAGUUAUAAACGUAACUCUGUGUAAUCCGAUAAUUGCAACAUAGACCUCUGCAGUGCAUGCGUUGGGCGUACAAGGGCAUCCCAGUCUUGAGCUUUAUGUGGUGGUGAUCAUGUGGUUGUUGGUUAUAUAACAUUUUCCACUGGAUUCUCUUCUUCCACCAUCACA